rnacentral:piRNA from 1 species
GCCAAAGACACUUAGAAAGGACAUUUCUGGA